AUCGCUUCUCGGCCUUUUGGCUAAGAUCAAGUGUAGAAUAUAUGUUUUCCAAUUAACUUCUGGAAAAAGAUUUAUUUUUCUAUUUGAAAGGCAGAGUUAGAGAAAGAGAAAGGGAGAGACAGAGAGAUCUAUCUACUGAUUUCUUCCCCAAGUGGUGGUAAUGGCCAACUGGUCAGAGGCCACGAGCUUUU